UCAAAUAAUAUUAAUUUGAUGAGAAAGAGGCAAGUUUCGAACAGUCAAGAUGAACAUAAGCUCGUAGAAUUAGUGUAAGUUUUUAGGCUUAGAAACUGAGUAGAAACAAAUCAAGGCAAAAUAUUCACGAAGAAUCACAUAAACUCAAAAAUGAGAACCGACCAGUCAUGCUGAUACAUAAAACCAAACAAAGAAAUCCCCUAAAAGUUAGGGCUAUCAACAUAGACGAGUUAAAGAGAAGAUAGAAACCGAGACUUAGAAGAAUCACACAAAGGGAACAAGAGAUUUCGAAAAGAACUUCUUCACUUAAACGAACAAUCUCAUACCUAAAACCAUGACAUUUUCAACAAUAGAAGGGUUUUAAAAAAGGAUAAAUAGGUAGAUCAGACAAAAACUCAGGCAAACAAGCAUCCACUUAAUAAAUAGUUUAAAAAAUUAGAGUUUUUAACAUGAGUUACCCGGUCUGGUUCCAAAUCAGCCGUUCAUUCAACACUGCUACAACCUCCGCACGCAUUCGUCGACCGGCAGAAGUGCUUUUUCAGUUUGUUAUGGGUUCCAACCCAUGGACUUGGUAGUAGACGGUUCGGACGAUGGUUGUGUCCUGAACCCAGUCAGCGGCACAUCUCCUAUCUUCUAGAGAAGCGGCUGAAUAGUUGUGAGCCACUAACUCAUGCGAAAAAGAUAAUAUGAGCAAAAACUGGAAAACAUAUCAAAAAUCAAAUAAAGGUUUCGAAAUAACUUAACAGAACCUUAAUCAGGAAGAUAAGGAGUUUUGAAAGCGGGGUUUUAAAAGAAACUUCGAGGAAAGUGCAUAAAAGUUCAGAGCAGACAUAGAUCUGAAAUAGAUCUAAGAGAAAUCAAGAGAACCUUAAAGGUUAGUGUUUCAGAGAACCCCAAGCGGGGAGAAAGGCUUUGAAAACCAUCGAUCUAAGCAGGAGAGUCAAGAGUCAUACUCGAAUAGCCAUUGUUGGCUGGAGAAAGGCCAGAGAUGACCGGAGAACAACCAUAAACUGAAAUAGACCAAGGUUUGGACCAAGCUCCUUUAAUAUCUAUCCUUGAAACCAUAAUAAUUGAACAUGUAUAAGCCAUGGGAGGUGGAUACAUGCCUUUGAUGACCUUGGAAGCCAUGGAUUUGGGAGUUUUAGGGUUGUAGUUGAGGGCGACGGCUAGGGUUUGAGAAGGUUUGAGAGAGGAUUGAAUGAUGAGGGGAUUCACAGGCGUCGGAGUGUGUGAAAUGGGGUUAGGGUUAGGGGUCGUUUGAAUUUAAAAGGUAAGGAUUGUUGUUGGCCGUUGAUUUGAAAUGAUCAACGACCUAGAUUAAAACGGGCGAGUGGGUAGGUUAUAAAGAUGGGUAUGGGCCGGAUUGAAUGGGGAUUGAGUCAGGGGUAAUUGAGCCUCACAUUGGGUUUAAUUGGGGUGCAAAAUCAAGCUAAAAUUGAAAUAAAAU
rnacentral:lncRNA from 1 species